AGCGAACGCUGGCGGCAGGCCUAACACAUGCAAGUCGAACGAACUCUUCGGAGUUAGUGGCGGGCGGGUGAGUAACACGUGGGAACGUGCCUUUAGGUUCGGAAUAACUCAGGGAAACUUGUGCUAAUACCGAAUGUGCCCUUCGGGGGAAAGAUUUAUCGCCUUUAGAGCAGCCCGCGUCUGAUUAGCUAGUUGGUGAGGUAAAGGCUCACCAAGGCGACGAUCAGUAGCUGGUCUGAGAGGAUGAUCAGCCACAUUGGGACUGAGACACGGCCCAAACUCCUACGGGAGGCAGCAGUGGGGAAUCUUGCGCAAUGGGCGAAAGCCUGACGCAGCCAUGCCGCGUGAAUGAUGAAGGUCUUAGGAUUGUAAAAUUCCUUCACCGGGGACGAUAAUGACGGUACCCGGAGAAGAAGCCCCGGCUAACUUCGUGCCAGCCGCCGCGGUAA
rnacentral:rRNA from 1 species